GGGGGGCCGGGAGCCAAGCGUCAGGCUGGAGGGGCUGCUGGGGUCUUCGCCUCGCCGAGUCACAAAGGGCUUCGGGGGGAAAGGACGAGAUCUGGGACCCACACUCGUGCUGCCAAUGGCGGUCUGACCCGAGACUCAUCUACACGCCAGUGAAAUGAGGAGAAGCGGCCUGAUCCGGAAUGGGCGACCGGGAGUAGAGGGCAGGGCAGCCUAGUGCACGCCCGGCCCGUGCAGAACGGCGGUCUCGAGAGCGCGGUCCCAACCCAAGACGCUCCUGGGAGGCCCUUAGAGCUGUGGACAGCGCUCUGGCCUCUGCCUCGGCUGCCUCAGCGCCACCCAGGCCGAAGUUAGUCCUCCGCACCCCACCCUUCCCUACCACCUGAUGGGCUUUUGGGGGGCUGAGCUCGACCCGGGCCUGUCGAGUACGGGGCCUAAGGAAGAUCACUGGGAACCAGGACCACACAGCUGGGAGGAAGAAAGGCGACACCGGAAGGCUGAGGCCAGAAUAAAGACCUCACAGAGGACCCUCCCAUCCAUGUAGUCUCUGACAACUGGCAGCGAGUGGGACGCUCCAUCAACCUGAGAAGCUCCUCAGAACACAUACGGGUCAGCGUGUCCCCAAGCUGCCCAUCUCCUGAGCAAGCCCAGCAGCUUUCCCAUGGGCCUUUGUCCAGAAGAAUGUGGCUCUGCUGGAAAAGCCUACGGACGCCUCAACUGUGGGCUGCUCUCAGCCUUUAGGAGCUGCCAGCCUCGCCUACAACACAGACGGGAUAUAAACACGGCUGCCUGAGAAAGAGUGACGAGGGAG